GUUUGAGGAAAAUUGAAAGUUGGUUUUUGUUUGUGGGGUAGAUUGAUUGACCUUUGGUGUGUUCUGAAGUUGAUUUUUGAUUCUGAUGAAAGAGUACUUUUGUGGGUCGUGAGGGUUGGGUGUUUGUUAAUGAGGAAGGGAAUCAGCAACAGUAUAUCAAAGAUUGUACUUUUGGUGUUUAUUGAAGUUCAGGUUGAAAAAAACAUACUUUUAGUGGAUUUGAGGGAAUCGAAACGUUGUUAGUGUGUGUUGGUGGGG
rnacentral:misc_RNA from 1 species